AAAUUUGUCAAAAGCAUUGGAAGAGGGUAGAAUAAAAUAGUUAUUUCUUAAGGCAUCGAGAUAUGUAUUUUUAUUUUAUGAAUCAAAAGUCAUUCCCAGCCUUUAAAUUCAAAUGGGAUGCUCCCAUGCCAUGUCCAAAGUUUAGUUAUCACAUGAUAUUAAGCAUUAGUACUUUCCGACAAGUAUUGAACCUCAUGGGCAUUCCAAUAACAGAGAUGAUGUUAGAUGCUUUUAUUAUUAAAAAUGUUUAUUAUAGUAAUAAUAUAUAUCCAUUAAUCCAUAAUUACUGUAUUUUAUAAUUUGAAAUAAAACAUUUGAAAAUUCUAGUUGAUAAAAAUUUUUGGUUGUCAAUAGAGAGUGAACAGUUUAGACCAGUGGUUCUCAAAGUGUGCACCAGGGUGCACUGGUGCGCCCUAGAAGAUUUCUGAGUGCAUCCUAUGAUAUUCCAAAGAAAUAUGUGUCCAGAGAUAAAAUAUAGUUAUUCUAUUAUACCGUUUAAUUACCG
rnacentral:lncRNA from 1 species